CUUAAACCUAAAAUUAUUUCCGUCUCUCUUCCUCUCGGUGUUCUCCUAUCGAACCCCUAACUGGCGUUCUCUCUUUUUCUUCGUUGAUUUACCUUCAGGUGCGAUUUUUCUUUGAUAAACAAAUAAGCCCAUUUUGUGUGUAAACCCGAACCCUAAGGUGCAUCAAGGUUCUUUUGCCCACACUACAGACUGGAGGUACAACCAGAUGCGAAUAAGUUGAGAUCAGUGUGGUUCUUAUCUAAGUUUUGUGCAUCAAGGCGUUUGGAUUGUGAUCUCGAUCCCUUUUCUUUUGCGGGAAGAGAAACCAAGAAGUGCAUGUUGCUAGGUAAGCCAUUUAACAAUAGGGAUUAUAUGGUGCAGAAGAAGGCGGAUUUGAAAAGAACGCCAAUUAGGAAAGAAGGCUGCCACAAAGUCAAAUACUCGGAUUAAUGCGCGGAUGUUCAAUGAAUAUGGUUUUAGAGUCGAGGAAAGCUCACAGCAGAACUUUGUAAACAGGUUAAGUAUGAGGUAUUAUUGUCAGGGUUGAGUCCAGGAUAUGCAUGGGGUGAUGUCUCUACUUGAAGGUUUUUCGUAUUUAAAUUUGCCUCCUACCUUAGCUACUCCUAACAUUCAUACUCUAGGGUCUGUAGUGUAAAUUUCGAGAAUGACUGGGACCAUGAAAAAGAACUGGAAGUUGGGAAAAAAAAGGAAGUGGUUGGACCAAAUAUUUACAAGUUUAGCUUUGGAUGAGUAUUGGUGAGUUUUAAUUAAUUAAAUGGGUUUUGUUGUUAUGACAUUGGUAGUUAAUUGAAAGCAAGAAGGUCGAAACUUGGUAAGAGUAUUGGAUGACAACAGUUUAAUUAUUGUCAGUAAUUAUGUACUUCCUUUUCGUUGUUCGGUACUUACUCAUGCUCUUCUGAGUAAUAAGUCUUUCUUCAUUGCAGGAUAGGAUGAGAGUCACAGUUACUAAAUUAAUUAUAUCAACAUUUGACCCUAAAUCUGCUGAAUGGAGUGUGAUGGUUAGCUACCCAUUGCAUGUCUCUCUAUUGGUUUAGGAAAUGUAUGGGUUUGUGAUUUACUUCUAUUGAACCCCUAAGAUACGACUUUUGAAACUGUCUUGCGUUUACAAAUCAAAACAGGAACUCCCUGCAGAAGUGGACAAUUACCCAAGUAUAAUCAGGUGAUGCUUUUUCUGUUCUUGAUUUUUCGUUAGCUUACUUAGCAAGGAUAAUCAUGACACCUUGGAAUUUUAGACCACUAUUUGUGGCGCUACAUCAGGGCAAGCUACAAAAUUUUUGUUGUCAUUCUCAGAACAAUGAUGGGCUGCAGACAUAUAAUAGGAUAACUUUUUCGUUAGCUACCACUUCUUGGAGAGGGUCUUUUAGUUCCGAUUGUUUAUGGCCUUAUUCUUACUUACUAAUUUAGUUUUCUCAUUUGAAAUAACAAUCUUGGUUUUUUACCAGUCGAUCACCAGUUCGCCGCUCAUCUAAUAGCUUCUCACCAGUUCACUGCUCAACUGUUUUCCGUACACGUUCCAAUGCUGGCAGCUCACCUGUUCAGCUGUUCUUCUAGCUACUGUUUUCUGUUCCAGUUAUAGUCAUUCACCUGUUAGUCACUUUCUAGAUGGUCGUUUUACAAAUGACCGCUCCCCUGAUUGAAGAUCAAGGACUUGAAUAUUGGGUUGGAGGGUUACUGGGUUAUCUAUAAAUUAGUUAUUAGUUUUGACUUUUAUAUUGUUAAUGUGACAGUUGCAUGUCAGAAUAAAAAGGACUGGAUGCUUACAUUUUGAAGCGAAUUAAA